AACCCACUGUCUUUGAAAAGCCAGGGGAUGACUUGUGGAUCGGAGUGAAAGGCUAAUCAAGCCCGGAGAUAGCUGGUUCUCCCCGAAAGCUAUUUAGGUAGCGCCUCGGACGAAUACCACAGGGGGUAGAGCACUGUUUCGGCUAGGGGGUCAUCCCGACUUACCAACCCGAUGCAAACUCCGAAUACCUGUGAGUACUAUCCGGGAGACACACGGCGGGUGCUAACGUCCGUCGUGAAGAGGGAAACAACCCAGACCGCCAGCUAAGGUCCCCAAGUACCAGUUAAGUGGGAAACGAUGUGGGAAGGCUCAGACAGCUAGGAGGUUGGCUUAGAAGCAGCCACCCUUGAAAGAGUGCGUAAUAGCUCACUGGUCAAGUGAUUCCGCGCCGAUAAUGUAGCGGGGCUUAAGUUAUCCGCCGAAGCUGUGGCAACCUGUGUGGUUGGGUAGGGGAGCGUCGUGUCAGUGGUGAAGCUGCCGGGUGACUGUGUGGUGGAGUUGAUGCGAGUGAGAAUGCAGGCAUGAGUAGCGUGUGACGGGUGGGAAUCCCGUCCGCCGAUUAUCCAAGGGUUCCAGGGUCAAGUUUGUCUGCCCUGGGUGAGUCGGGUCCUAAGGCGAGGCCGACAGGCGUAGUCGAUGGACGACCAGUUGAUAUUCUGGUACCGGUGU
rnacentral:rRNA from 12 species